ACGGCUUUCGAUAGACACCUAAAACCUUCGCCGAGGGGGAGGUGACCUGAGGUGACGUCACUGCAGGCGCCUCCCGGCGCUGAAGGACCCCGCACGCUGACGGGCCGGUGCGCAAGUUUUAACUGGAGCGGCGCGCUCCGUCAGAGUGCAACCGGGCCCAGGCGGAGACUCGAGGACUACGUCUUCCGGCGGCCCCCGCGCGCCGGGCGGACCCCGAGCAGUUCUUCCUGCCGCCGCGGGCGCGCCUGAGGGGGCGGUUCGCCUCGUUAGACGUUGUCGUCGUCACCGCUGACCAGUCCUUCUUCCCAGACGUCUCUCUUCUCACAGCUCCCCCGCCUUCCGUGUCCACUUGCCGUCCGGCCCCGCGCUCCUCGGCCUCUUCCCCACCCCCACCCCCACUCCGGAAGCCCUGCCAAGCGCAGCGCUUGGCCGAAUCCUGGGCAGUGGCCGGCUGCUAACAAAUGUUAUUAAAAUAUCUUGCAAAGGGAAAAAAAGAGAAAAUCUUCACUUUACAGCAAUUCCCGGAUACACCCAAGUCCUCAUCCUCUUGUUUGAAUCGAAGUUUUCCCCGAUAUCCGCUGCCACCAGAAUCUUUUGAUGAUCCCAGCUUGUUGCCAUGGGUUACCUUGCUCGGAAGCCUCAGACGUCGCUUCUCGACGUCUGGUUAGGAAGUCCGAAUUCUUAGCGUCCCAUACAAGAACUGCAUGCAUUAAGGAGACGUCCCAGGCCCUAUCAGCUCCUUCCUAAAUCUUCGGAUGGAAAUUGCAACUGAAAACAGCACCCACCCCCACCCACCCCCACCCCCCACCCCCCGCCACUUCCAAGAAAGCAGUCUGUGUUCCUCUCCAAAUGCCGGCAUCCCUGUCCUUGCUUGUACACGCUCUGCGGUUGAAGCUGGCUGUGAAGUGGAGGAACCAGGUGUCCAGCAGUCGCUUAGAUCACCUGCCCUUGGCACUGAAGACACGUCUGUACUCGUCCGAGGGGCUAAUGUGGGAUGUGCAGAAGACAGGAGUAGGGUUAAAGUGAAAGGAGAAGCGAGAAAGGGGAGAGGAGCCCCUGUGGUCCUGAUGACUUUACAUGUUCCAUGUCUGCCUUCCAACCUCGGACAAACAGGUCUUAACAGUAGCUUCCCUCCCCAAAUGUUUCCCCCCACCCCACCCCUUCCCGGCCCAGGGUAUCUUAGCCAGGGAGGCACCAGCUUAUGCUCCAGCGUUGGAUCGCUCUGCACUGUCCACCCGCCUACACGACAUCCCUACCCUUGCAGGAACUGGGAACUCACUGCUGCCUUCCUGUCCCCUGCACCUGCCUGGACCGCGCUUCCUGCCAGCGUGGCAUUCUGUAACCCUCCUGUCCUGCCAGGCCGCUCGUUCUACCUCCACGACCGCAGUGUGACAGACAAAAAGUGCACACAGCCUCAUGGAUGCUUAAUGCCGAGUUGCACGGGUACCUCAGCACACAUCAGAUGUACGCAUUGUGCAAAACCCUGCAGAGUCAACAGCAACCACUACAGCAGCUUCUGAGGAAUGCCAGGGGGCAGCGUGGGGUCAUGCAAAGACUCGCAGCCUUAGGACGUGGCCUCUCACUGAGGUGCCUUGGCCGGACGCUUGAGCUCUGAGAGGGGACCUUUCUUCAUGCUUCUCUAAGCUGGGG
ensembl:lincRNA